AUACAGCCAUCUCAAUAUUAAUGUCACUGUUCUUAUUGAAGAUUUUCCUUGGCUGUUAAGGCCGAAAGGUCGGGCCAUCAUUUCACAUUUUCACCUAGGCAUAGUUGUUACCUAUGUCACGAUUUUCUUCUGCUACUUAGGCAAUUAUUAUUCUAUUUUAAUUGGUGAAAGAGGAGGUGUUGAAGUUAGAAUAGACGUUUGUCCCUUCAAUAAUGGUGGUUUGGAAGAUGGUGACAUCAAUGUCUGACACAUCUUUUCGACGGAUAAUGAUGAUGUCAUCAAAUAACCGCGACAUAUUGCCGAACUUGACAGACGAGCAUCUUUUUCAAUCUUGCACUAUGUUUCGGAGUCUGUAUUAUAAAACUCCUCCUCAUCUUUUUUUGAAGUGAAUCCAAGGUAAUUUCGAGUUCGGCCAGCAACAAAGGCGUGCUCUAACCCCGUUUGUCCACGCCAACAUUAUUUUGAUACUUAGAAAAUUUCAUCAUUUAAAUAAAUUUCAUUUUUAUUUUCUUACUAUCUUUUAGGGUGUGUUUGUCACCCAUUAUUUGGGAAGAAUAUAUUAUAGAACAGUGAUUGAUGUUGAAAU
rnacentral:lncRNA from 1 species